rnacentral:rRNA from 1 species
AUGCGCACCACCGCAAGCCGCCCCUCCUCGGCUUCUUCCAGCGCGGCGGGCAACAGGUCAUGUUCACGCCCGUCCUCGCACCUCCGGACCGCAUCCCCCCCUGGGCGCUUCUCCCUUGGACGCUACAGUGAACACAAGGUGCUCGAUUGCCGCCACGGCCGCGUCCUCGUCAAAGACCGGGUUCUGGAAGAGCUCGUUGUGUGUGAUCCUAUCAACCACAAGCAGCACCGCGUGUCCAUUCCGCCCGAGUUCAACAGAGCCUACCUCAAGGCGGCAGUGGUCUGCGCUGCCAGAGACCAGAACCAUGUACACGGCGCGUGCCAUUCAAGCCCCUUCAAGCUGGUCUUCGUGUACAUUCACUACAUGCAGUAUUAUCGACAACUCGUCGCCCGAGUUUACUCCUCCGAGACUGACACAUGGGGCAAUUCCAUCUCGACAGAGGCUUCAGAUGGCACUCUAUUUGGUCACAGAACUAGCACCCUUGUAGGUAAUUCCCUGUACUGGCCGGCUAAGCAUAAGGGAAAUGACAUAGUUGAGUUUGAUUUGCGCAAGCAGAACCUUACCGUGAUCAAGGGGCCUCGUGGUAUGAAUAUGAAUGAUUUCGACAACUUCCAUAUCAUUGAGGAACAGGAUGGCUCUUUUGGUCUUGCCGCCUUGUCCCACCUUAAGCUUCAAAUGUGGCAGAGGAAGGUUGAUUGUCGAGGUGUUGUCAUAUGGUCGUUGCGGAAAACCGUUUCACUGCGUGAACUUCUUAAGAUCCCUAGGACCGUGAGAUGGAAUGAAUGGCUCAAAUUGGUGGGGUAUGAUGAGGAUACCGGUGUAAUCUUUUUAGCUUGGCAUGAUGUUGUAUGUAUGGUUCAGCUGAAGUCAAUGCAAGCGAGGAAGCUUCAUGGAACCGGUUCUACAUAUUACUGCUAUACUUUCGCGAGUUCACAUCCACUAGGCACAACCAUUGAAGGUGGAGCUAAUGGAGCUGAAAUGUUAGGAUGA